GUCAUGUUUUCCUGUUUUUCUUAGCUUCUUUUAUAAGUUUCAGUUAUAUGUUGCUUAAUUUGAAAAAGCUCAUGGAUGGUAUUUUCUCAUCAACGUAAAAUAUCUUUGGUAUCCUGUUUGGUGCUUUUUGUUUUGAAUUGUACAUCCUUUUUGUCUGUCAUUUAACUUUAGAUGGGUGGCUUAUAAACACAUUGCUGGAAUUUUUUUUUUUUAGUGAAAUUCAGACAGUCUCUUAAUAGGUGAAUUUAACUGGUUUUUUUGUGAUCAUUGUUGCAAUGUUAUUUGCCAUUAAGUUCAUUUUCCUAUUAUGUUUUCUAAUUGGUGGGGGGGUUUUUGCUUCCCCUAUUUGCUUGAUCAAAAAAUUUUCCUAUAGUAAAUUAAGCAUUCAACAUCUUCUUGCUGUGUUACUGGUGGAUAACUUUAAAGUUUUAAACAUGUUUGAAUUUCUAUUUCUCUCAAUUUCACAUAUUUAAGGCCUCUAUUCACCCUGAACAAGAAACUCAGCAGAAAGUCAGAUUUCUGCCCAUCUUCCUACCAGUGCACAUACACAUUCUCUGUCUCCUGGGUUUCGCUGGAAUCAUCUAGAAUACAGUUCAGAAUUCUAAACUUUUCACAAAUGUCUCUAUCUCAAUCUCUUAAUAGUGACACUAAAUGUCAGUCAUAUUAUUAAAAAAUAUUUUGGCCCAACUCCCUGUUUACCCAGCUUCACUGCUCACCUGUUUCUUAUAAACCUGUUUCUGAGUUCUUGAUUUUGAUUUGCUUUCUUCUGGAGUAUUUCUUUGGAUUUUUUUGUUUUCAGAACAUGUGCGAGUCCUUGCACCUCUGAAUGUUUCUGUCUUUGUCCUGACACACCAGCGAUCAGGCUGAGCAUCUCUCCUGGAGAGGAUGUCUCCUUGCCAAAAAUUCAUCCUCCUUCCACGCAGUGGGAUUGCACAUCCUAGCGCUGCUGAGCUCGGGCAUGGUCCGUGAAAGAUGGGUAGACGGGUGUGCGUCUCAAGGCGGAUGCUUCAAGAACCAGCAUAUGGCUCACGUGUCCUCUCCCUCUCGACUAGCACUGGCCACGUUCCAGGUAGAGACUCCUCCAUCCCCCUGGGUUCUGGCCCAAAGUCGACCUCAAGCAGAGCUGCAGCCAACCUGCCACGGCCAUGUGGUGUGAGAAACAGGUCUGUCACAUGUCACUGAGGUCUGGGGGUCAUGUGUUACCCGCAGGCUGUUCUAGCCUGUCCUGAUCUACGUAUUGUUAUGGGUUGCAGACCUUUCCUCUGAGAAGUUGGAGCUCUGGCCAUGGGGCUGGGGCAAAUUCCUUGCCCUCUCUGCUCCCUGAACACUGCCCACCUCCGCCACCCCCCUCCCCCGACCAUCUGUAAAGCAUGGGAGUGAAUUAGAUGAACACAGAGGUCCUUGCCAGGUUUGACAUUAAACUGAUCUUUUCUGCCAGAUAAGGGCCUUCCUGAAGAUUCCUCUUAAUCAGGCAGCUGACUUUGUAUUUUUACAAAGCAAAUUAUGUACGAGAGAUUUUGGCUAUUUGUUGCUAGAAAUAGGCCCAGCUGACGUCUGGUGGGGACAGAUAUUUGAGAAGCCCUGGAAGGCACCAGAAGGCGGACACCUACCUGGAGCUGGGAUGGAUUUCUGGUCUGUCCUCGGCCUCCCUGGCUUGGUGACAGGCAGGAGCUCUGCCUGCGCCCGCUGAUCUCUUUCUCACCAUUGAGUGCCUGCUGUGUGCCAAGCGUCCUGCCAGGGCCUGCAAGGAUGAGACACACUGACCCUCUAGGAAGCACCUCUAUUUGGGGAGGUGGGCUUGGUGAUCUUCAUGUAGAUGGGGCUUUCCUGUGGCGCUGCCUUCCUUCACUUCCUCGUGGGAUCCUGGCAGCCGCUGGUGAGAUGGGAAACGGACUGAGAAUCAGCAGAGCUGGGACCGGAACCCGGGCCUUCUGCAGCUCCAGACUCUGCUCUUCCCUGCACGCGCUGCCUCUGCUGCUCUUUAUGGUGGUGGCCAAAGGAGCCGUGCUGACGGGAAGGAUGAGUGAGGCCGAUAUUCCUGUGCUGCUGGGAGGCCUUGCAGGAGGUAGCCUCCACCACCUUGAAGGAGGAGAAGGAGGAGGAAAAGCUGGGAGAGAUAAAGAAGCUGAGGUCUGGAGAGGAGAAGGGACGAAGGUCUGGCCGCAAGUCCAGCACAAGCCAGGUUGUCAUAUUUGCAGCCACGCGAUUUAUCGCUACGGAUGGAGUACGUCAAGAAAUUUCAACUUUUCACUUAAAGGGAGCGCCUUACGGCUUCUCUUUGGCAUAUCCAAAUUGCCAGCAGCACUGCUCUUGCACUUUGGGGCCAUUAAGUGAAACAGGGGUACCUGAACACAAGCCCUGUGAUACCUCGACAGUCGAUCUGAUAACUGAGAGGGCCACUAAGUGACUACGGGCUGGGAGCACGUACAAGGGAGUUCCAGCCUAAUUUCCUGGAAAAGGGCCAGAGCAAGGGAAUCCUGGGCUCCUUUCUGACAGGAGGCGGAGAAGCGGGGGCCAGGCACAAUCAACUCUUUAUCGUCAGGAAGCUUGUGGAGCCCUCUUGCCUGGUGACAUUUCUAGGCAAGCGGAGACUUUAG
ensembl:lncRNA